GUAGUUUGAUCAUGGCUCAGGACGAACGCUGGCGGCGUGCUUAACACAUGCAAGUCGAACGAGAAUCUGCGGUAACGAGGAUUCGUCCAAGUGAAGCAGAGGACAGUGGCGGACGGGUGAGUAACGCGUGAGGAACCUGCCUUUCAGAGGGGGACAACAGUUGGAAACGACUGCUAAUACCGCAUGACACAUAGAUGUCGCAUGGCAUUUAUGUCAAAGAUUUAUCGCGUGAAAG
rnacentral:rRNA from 1 species